rnacentral:rRNA from 1 species
UACGUAGGGUGCAAGCGUUAAUCGGAAUUACUGGGCGUAAAGCGUGCGCCGGCGGUUUUGUAAGUCUGUCGUGAAAGCCCCGGGCUCAACCUGGGAAUUGCGAUGGAGACUGCAAGGCUUGAAUCUGGCAGAGGGGGGUAGAAUUCCACGUGUAGCAGUGAAAUGCGUAGAGAUGUGGAGGAACACCGAUGGCGAAGGCAGCCCCCUGGGUCAAGAUUGACGCUCAUGCACGAAAGCGUGGGGAGCAAACAGG